AAAAAGGCUUUGUUUUGUCUGGCUGUUCUGUGUGCUUGCAGGAGACAGAUCAAGAAAGCAAGCUAUCCAACUCCAUUAGGUUGCUGACACUCCCUUAUUACAAGAGCUGUCCCUUUUUUUUCAUCUCUAUACAACAAGAUCAGAAGUUGCUGAGUGUUGCAAAAAAGCAUCAAGAAAUACCCCUGGUGAAUGUAGGAAUGUAUCUGCUGGACAAUCAGAGGAGCUACCCAUUCCAAUGGACUCCAUAUCAGAAUUCAACAUAUAUAUUUUAUACUAAUAACAUUCUAUCAAAGUAUUAAUUAAAUGUUAACUUGCUAACUUGAGACCAUGGGCGGAGACAUUAUGUUACCUGUUAACC